rnacentral:rRNA from 1 species
AUUGAACGCUGGCGGCAGGCUUAACACAUGCAAGUCGAGCGAGUGGCGGACGGGUGAGUAAUGUCUGGGAAACUGCCUGAUGGAGGGGGAUAACUACUGGAAACGGUAGCUAAUACCGCAUACCAUCAGAUGUGCCCAGAUGGGAUUAGGUAGUUGGUGGGGUAAAGGCUCACCAAGGCGACGAUCCCUAGCUGGUCUGAGAGGAUGACCAGCCACACUGGGACUGAGACACGGCCCAGACUCCUACGGUAGGCAGCAGUGGGGAAUAUUGCGCAAUGGGCGCAAGCCUGACGCAGCCAUGCCGCGUGAGUGAAGAAGGCCUUCGGGUUGUAAAGCACUUUCAGCGAGGAGGCGUUACUCGCAGAAGAAGCACCGGCUAACUCCGUGCCAGCAGCCGCGGUAAUUC